rnacentral:rRNA from 1 species
UACGUAGGAGGCGAGCGUUGUCCGGAGUUACUGGGCGUAAAGGGUGCGCAGGCGGGCCGCGCGCGUGGGUGGUGAAAUCUCCCGGCUCCAACUGGGAGGGGGCCAUCCAGACGGCGUGGCUUGAGGCUCGGAGGGGGGCGUGGAAUUCCGGGUGGAGCGGUGAAAUGCGUGAGAGAUCCGGAGGAACACCGACGGCGAAGGCAGCGCCCUGGACGAGACCUGAC